rnacentral:lncRNA from 10 species
UAAGUUAGGCUGCAGUAUCAGACAACCCUACAGUCUCAGGAACUUACAGCAGCAAAGGUGCCCUCAGGUAUUAAUAUAAACCACAGGAUGGACUGGAUGAACCCUAUCUGGCAGUGGCAGGCAGGAUUCUGAAAGUCUUUCUGCCUUUUCGAAGUCAUGACUACAGCGGAAGUGAGGAGGAGACAAUUCACUACAAAGUUCAGUUGCAAGCAAGGCAGGGAGAGAGGAAGAGAAAGAAGGAAGGAAAGAAAAGGACGAAGGAAGG